rnacentral:rRNA from 1 species
GGUAGGAAGAAGAUUCUAAGGCCAACGGGAGAAGGGUUGUUAAGGAACUCGGCAAGUUGACCCCGUAACUUCGGAAUAAGGGGAGCCUCGAAAGAGGCCGCAGUGAAAAGGCCCAAGCAACUGUUUACCAAAAACACAGGUCUAUGCUAAAUCGAAAGAUGACGUAUAUGGGCUGACGCCUGCCCGGUGCUGGAAGGUUAAGAGGAGAGCUUAGCGCAAGCGAAGGUUUGAAUUGAAGCCCCAGUAAACGGCGGCCGUAACUAUAACGGUCCUAAGGUAGCGAAAUUCCUUGUCGGGUAAGUUCCGACCUGCACGAAUGGCGUAACGAUCUCCACACUGUCUCGGCCAGAGACUCGGUGAAAUUGAAGUCGCGGUGAAAAUGCCGUGUACCCGCAGAAAGACGGAAAGACCCUGUGCACCUUUACUAUAGCUUGACAUUGGGAUUUGAGCCUGCAUGUGUAGCAUAGGUGGGAGGCUGUGAACUCUGUACGCCAGUAUGGAGGGAGCCAUCGUUGAAAUACCACCCUUGUUUGUUCAGGUCCCUAACUCCUUGCCGUGAUCCGGUAGGAGGACAGUGUCUGGUGGGUAGUUUGACUGGGGCGGUCGCCUCCCAAAAUGUAACGGAGGCAUGCAAAGGUUCCCUCAGGCUGAUUGGAAACCAGCCGUCGAGUGCAAACGCAAAAGGGAGCUUGACUGCAAGAGAGACAUCUCGAGCAGGUACGAAAGUAGGUGUUAGUGAUCCGGUGAUCCCGAAUGGAAGGGUCAUCGCUCAUUGGAUAAAAGGUACGCCGGGGAUAACAGGCUGAUCGCAUCCAAGAGUUCACAUCGACGAUGCGGUUUGGCACCUCGAUGUCGGCUCAUCACAUCCUGGGGCUGAAGCAGGUCCCAAGGGUACGGCUGUUCGCCGUUUAAAGUGGUACGCGAGCUGGGUUUAAAACGUCGUGAGACAGUUUGGUCCCUAUCUUCUGUGGGCGUAGGAGAAUUGAAAGGGCCUGUCCCUAGUACGAGAGGACCGGGAUGGACACACCACUGGUGGACCUGUUGUCGUGCCAACGGCACAGCAGGGUAGCUAUGUGUGGAAGGGAUAACCGCUGAAAGCAUCUAAGCGGGAAGCCUGCCUUAAGAUAAGUUCUCCCUGACGCAAGUCCUGAAGGGCCGAGGUAGACGACCUCGUUGAUAGGCUGGAGGUGGAAGCCCUGUGAGGGGUGGAGCUGACCAGUACUAAUAGCCCGUGCGUCUUGUUUCU